UGGACAUCCAACCCCACCCACAUCCAAGUGUGACGUCGGAAGUCACGCCCAUGUCCGAAUACGUCACAGUCUCAUUCAUUUUGAAACAGGAAGAAGCAUCGAUAAGAAGCAUUUUACGCAUUUUCAGUCCAAGCCUGAUGCAGAGCAGUUCUGCCGGGAUGAGGGGUCCCUGCUGCAGUUUCAUCAGAAAAGAAAAUGACUCAUUACAAUUCACUUGGAGGACCACAUAAGCCAUGCAGUGGUGCAUGGAGGAGUGCCAAGAGGACAUAAAUCGGAAGUUUGUAAGGGGCAUUGGUCCAGCGUGGUACAGAGUCACCGUGAGUUAUUCUGUGGGGAGGUGAAAGGGCCUGCCUUUCUCCAGAUGGAGGAUAAAAAUCAACAGAAUGCCAUCAAAGACUACCUGGGGGAAGAAUCGGAUGGAGCAAGAGAUGUUUUUUUUAUUCAUGUUUGAGUAUCUGGAGGAGCUGGACAUAUUCAUAUCAAAUUGUCUUGAUGAACAAGCCCUAAAGGUCC